rnacentral:rRNA from 1 species
UACGUAGGUGACCAGCGUUGUCCGGAUUUACUGGGCGUAAAGAGCGCGCAGGCGGUCGUUCAAGUCGAGUGUGAAAGCCCCCGGCUCAACUGGGGAGGGUCAUUCGAUACUGAUCGACUUGAAGGCAGGAGAGGGAAGUGGAAUUCCCGGUGUAGUGGUGAAAUGCGUAGAUAUCGGGAGGAACACCAGUGGCGAAGGCGACUUCCUGGCCUGUUCUUGACGCUGAGGCGCGAAAGCUAGGGGGGCAAACGGG